rnacentral:lncRNA from 1 species
UCAUGCAUGUAUCUGUGCCAGUAAUUAAUUGGCACAAAUAUCCGCACAGAAUACCAUCAGUCAAAUUAACCUGGCAUGCAGAUACGACAUCAACCACUCACAGCACGCCACGUGGAAAAACCGUACAUUCCCCAUACGGAACGACAAGACCAGGCGGCAAAAGGCUUCACACCUUUUGAAAAUUUUGAAAUCCAUGGCCCAGCAAACACAACCCGGGUAAAUCACGCCAAUAACCCGCCACCUCAGCCCAGCCACUCACAACAAACACGCUCGCCCACAUACAACCCGGAAGUGCACCUUUGCGGGAAGGAUUUUACUUACUCCCCCCACCCGCUAAAGCAGAUGGAAGGAGUAGGGGGGCAAUGAUAAGGUACCACGCUACAGUGACCGCCAACAGUACCCGC